rnacentral:lncRNA from 1 species
UUUUUUUUUUUUUUUUUUUUUGGGCGCUAUCAAAGAGUAGUUUUAUUAUAUAUAUUUUUUUUAAUUCAAAGAGUAGUUUUAUGGUUUGAUAAAAUCAAAGAGUUUAGGAUAUGAAUGGUUGCUGUUGAUGGUCAUUAGGAUCGCUCAUGGUCCCGAUUCAGUCAAUAACAACGGAUAUUGUUUGUGACUGAUUGAGAUACGUUGCUUGUGCAAUUCUCAUCCUUCAAUGUACAAUGAUUCUCUUGAGAUGUACGUCGAUUCUUUAACGGUUCAGAAGCAUUUGACAGGAAUGUUGAAAAAUCUUCACCAGCCAAAGUGUUCAAUUGUGGGAAACAAUAGUAACAACAGUUCUUUUGGCCUCAGUUCUGUUCAUAUCCUAUAAAUAGCAGUCAUUACCUUGUGGAAACUUCCCAUUUUACGCACAACCAAUCUCUCAUAACACUGCUAAUCAGAAAAAACAAGCCAUGUAUGCCUAUAAUAGAUUUCCCUCCAGUAGCAUAACCUACAACGCCUCCACUUCGAAAUACUCAGUCACCUGCGACGGAAAAACCAUUGAGACAACUCUCACUGAUAAAGCUGCCAUAGCUGAUGAAUGGGUUAGGGAAAUCCUUUCCCUGUAUGCUAACAAACCUACGGUUGUUGGUUUAGACAUCGAAUGGAGGCCCCAUCCUAUUCGCUCAAUGAGCAACAAAUCAGCUACUUUGCAGCUUUGCAUCAACGACAAGUGCCUAAUUCUUCAACUUUUUUAUAUGGACGAAAUCCCACAAUCCCUCAAGAAUUUUCUUGCGGACUCCAACUUUACCUAUGUGGGGAUUGAGGUGGCUGAUGACAUAGCCAAGCUUAAGAACGAGUAUGGGCUGGAGUGCAGCAGCAGUGCUGACAUUAGGGCUCUGGCGAUGCGCCGGUGGCCGGGAAGAUUUCGCCGGCCUGGGCUGAAGGAUCUUGCAUCGGAUGUGGUGGGGCUUUACAUGAAGAAGCCUAAGCAUGUUUGCAUGAGUAACUGGGAAGCAAGGGUUCUCAAUGAGAACCAAGUUGAGUAUGCAUGCAUUGAUGCUUAUGCUUCUUACAAAAUCGGGCAUAAGCUGAUCAUGGAAAACUAGUUGUUUGGCCUUUGGUUUGGGGCUGGCAAGAAGUCUAGAAGCAUAUUAUAUGUAAUGUGGGUAUUUUAUGCAGCAAGUGGUUUAUGAUAUGAUGUAGCAAUGCUGGCGUUUUUAAUUCCUUUUUUUUUUUUUUGAGCAAAGUAAUUUGCUUAUCUUGUCAUCAGAGGAAAUUCUAAAUAUUUAAGUUUUAUCAAUGUUGUGUGGAAAGAUUGUGUUAAAAUUGUUUGGCCAGGAAUUUUUUUUUUUUUUUUUAUAUUUACCACAAUAGCUCUCAGGAAAAAAAAAAAUUUAUAGGACCACAAUGCUCCGAGAACCAUCAAAUCCUAAUUGUACUGCCAAACAGGCUGGCUGAUAUUACAACGAAAAACUGUCCAAAAUUUCCCCAGAAACUAGACAUGGGGGCAUUGCGGUUUGCCUUUACUAUGGUGGAUAGCUUUAUUAGGUACGUUGGUAACAACUAUUAGCAUUAAUCCUAUCAUUCGUGGGUUUAGCUGCAGCCUUAUGAAUACUAAUUUGACAACGUUUCAUUAUUAAUCUCACAAUAUUGUCGAUUAGUUGUAUUGUUAUGAAAGAAAAGAUUAACAACUGAUAAUGACUAUAUAUUUGAGUUAUUUACUUUCACAGCUUUGUAUUUUUAGACUUUACUUUCACAACCUGUCCGUGUUUUAAUUAAUUUCUCUCAGUUGGUAAUGCAUAAUCAGAAUCAGUGACAAAGAAAAAAUGAAAUUUAGAAAUGAUUGAGACUCUUUAUAAAUCCUCUUUUUUUUUUUUUUGGUAUUUAAACUUUAAAGGAAAGUUAAAAAGAAAGAACCAAAUUUUGACUUGAACUAUUAAACUAGGGAUCUAAUAGUUAGUAUUUGAUUAGUUCCCAACUAGCUGAGACUUUCAUACUACUAUGAUGGUGCAAUAAAGAGAAAUGGACCAAGUCCUAAAUCCAUCUGGACUAGUCAAUUAAACAUCCUUUGUUUACCCAAAAGGCCAUGCAAUGCAGGUGCUUUGCAUGUACAGUUGCUAGUCACUUUUGACUUGCUAAAACUUUGGUGGUUCCAAAACUGAAUUGAUAAAUAUUGAUCGCCUCGAUUGGCCUUCAUUUCAUUUGACCGCUGCAUGCCAUUUUUUGUCCCCCACCUCGAGGGCUUCGAAUAAGAAUUACCCGUCAGAGGAUUGAAUGGAGAGUUCCGGCCACCAGAAUUUUAAACGCGAAAGGCUCAGAACUUUGAACAAAUCGUACCUUUUAAGUUCAUGAUAAAUAUGCAGAACUUAUAACUCAGAGAGAUGCAAUGCAUCGCAUGUCGCUCCCUUUGUAAACAAGAACAUGCAUGAAUAUACCAGCGUUGUGCAUCUUGAGUUAAUAAGAUACAGCACAUAUGAUCAUACUCGAUCGCACAAAUUUUCAAUGUGGUGAUUCUCUUACCUUUGGAUUCACUCUAAAUGCAAAAUUCAAAGAUGAAAUGCAUGAACUUGGGCUUGCGGCUGCAAGUUUAGGCGCCCCGAGGUUCAUCCUGAAGCAUUUCUGUAUUUCUAUUUCUCAUCUCUUCUUUAAAGACAAUAAACUCUGAUUUCACUUACAAAAAAACACUUUAAAAUUCUAACAUUUUAAAUGAUAACCAAAAAUAUAGUAUCUCUAAAAUCAAGAAAAUGGCCAUCUUUUAAUUUAUUUCUAUUUCUUAAUUCCUAUUGUCCCUUAGUAUAGAAACUUUCAGAAACUCUUUUUGUAUUCUUCAAAAUUUAAAGCAUAUAAGAAAAAAAAAAGCGAGUACAAAUCGAAAUAAUUACUAGGACAGAUCCAGACUUCCAAUCUUUCCAUCAAUCAUCAGACUUUAACAUUCGUAUGAUGCAGCAAGGGUGAAUGCAUCCAUAAAUGACAACAAAAUCGAAUCACAUAUCAUAUUCGAUGGACCAAAUCAUAUGCAUGCACAAUAGCCAGUUACAUAUGAGACUUUGAAGAAACUUUAACUGAUUUUUUUUUUUUUUUUUUUUUGGGAACCGAGGACCUGAAGGGUGAAAAGCCAAUAAUCUCUGAAGUCUAGCAGCUGAUUGCUGCAGCAUUAAAGGAUAAGAUGACUAUAUGUAUAUAUUGACAUGAAUAGCCUACAUUUAGCAUAUAGUGGUGUAUUACUUAGGCAAGAAAAAGAAUUUUUAUAGCCUUCAUUUAACUCUACGGUAGAGCUGAUAAACGAACUAAACUGUUCGGUCACUUGAUUCGUUUCGACACGUUCGUGUUCGUGAAAGACUCGUUCGAACUUUAAACGAACUGAGUUCGAACGCAUUUUUUUUUUCGAAUAAUAAUCGAGCGUACACGAGCAUGUUUGCGAGUUUUAACGAACGUUCACGAACAUGGACAUAAUUAUCUUUUGACAAAUUUUAGGGUUAAUUUUAUGGCUAGACUUUUAUAUUUGGAGGGUUUUAUUUGUUAUUUUUAUGUUAAUGUUAGUUAUAUAAUUAAUGAAUAAUAGAAUUUAGUCACUUAGUGCUUUAAUUAUUUUUUAGAAUGAUUAAUUAUUUGUAUGGCAUAUUUAAGACUUAAAAUCAUUUGGAUUCGAGCAUUUCGAGCAUGUUCGCGAACGUAAACGAGUCAAACACGAACUCGAACUCGAACUCGAACAUGAAUUUUGCUUAACGAGUCGAACACGAACACAGAUUUGGAGUUCAAAAAUUAACGAACGAACACGAAUGUUAUUCAAAUCACUUAACGAACAGAAUUUAAACAUAAGAUACUCGGUUCGAUUCGACUCGUUUACAGCUCUAACUCUACCAUUGAACCUCGUAUCUCCUUGGGGGUCCAAUUUUUAUGAAGUAAUGAAAAGAAUUUGUUAAGUCGUGAUCACUAAAAUCUUUAGUGAAAUGUUCUUAGGAUGUGUAACUGCAAAGUAAAUUACGUACUAUGGCACGCAAUGCAAUAGAUGACUGAAAAAAAAAAAAAAAACAAAAGGACGUGCAAUAUAUGAUGGAAAUUUGAAACAUCAUUAGUACUUAAUACUUCUCGUAUGGAGAUUAAGCAUGCAGUAGCUUUGGGAGUUUUGUGACUUGUGACCGAGCUGUAUCCACGAAGACGACUUUGAUACAUUCCAAAAUGUAGGAUCUUCCUCUUGAAAAGCGUUCAUGUUCUUGGGAUUGAGCAGUGAAUCCGACGUUCAAAUUUCAGAUUACUUGGGAAGAGAAAUUAGUUAUCAUUCGUGUUCCUCAAGGAGUGUUAUUACAGUCAUCAAUAGCAGUGAUAUGUAUACCGAGAUUAAUAUCUACACUUACCAACGUAACCAACAGAUCCACAACUUCACCUUGUUUGAUGCCCUCUCGCUAUAAAUACAUAAACUUGGACAACGUUAACCAGAGGGUUCAUUUUUACUAGGAACAAAUAAUCAAAGAAUGAUUCCACUUCGAUUCAAGUCCAAAAUGGGUGUCCACAACAUAAAAUUGUACGGCUUUCCUGUGAAGGCGACAGUUGUGGACGAUUGGUCUCUAGCUGUCAGUGGUAUACAAGAGUUAAAGAAGCAGCUGUGUGAGUUGCAGAUUGUUGGAAUUGAUGUGAAGGGGACCGAACUGUCAGCAGAACCACAGCUACUGCUGAUUUACGUGAAAGAUCGUUGCUUGAUCAUUCAACUUGGACGAAAGUCUUCUUAUCCUUCCCAACUUGAAUCUUUCCUGAGUGAUAGGAAUAUAUGUUUUGUGGGAGCGAACAUGAAUAGGAAGGUUGAUGUCCUGAAAAAAUUUUGGAUUCCCCAAGGUGCGAUUGUACUACAGAGAGAUUCGUGGUUGACGCAUAGAGUCGAAGUUGGUGAAUUGGCGGCCAGAGUUCUGAAGAAUGCAGACCUUGAAAAGUGCGAUAAUCUUGAAGUGUUGGCAAAGAAGAGUGGAUUUGAUUUUAAAGAAGCAGAUGAGAAGAAGCGUCCUUCUCCAAACUGGGCUGCCUUAUGCUUGUCGGAAGAAGUCAAGUGUGCCAUGCGUGAAGUUUUCAUAAGCUACAAUGUGGCAAGUAAGCUGCUCAGCCAGCUCUAGAGUAGAGAGUCCUGGAGAUGUGAUUUUGUUGUCUUUUUUUCCCCCUUUUUUUUGACUUCUUUAUCAUGACUAUUCCUUUUGGCUUUUGCAUUAGAUGGAUCAUGGAUCAUGGUUGUAACAGGUCUUUAUUUUCUUGUCUUCGUGUCACCUAUUACAUAUCCAGGGAAUUUGACCAAUUUAUUUUUCUGUUCAUUCUUAAACCAAUUAGCUGGCACCUUGCUCAAUCUACAUGAAUGAUGAAUCGCUCUUCGUGAAGUACAUAUGUUAGUUACAUCACAUAAAAAAAAAGGAAAAAACAGCAAAAAAAUUAAUCCUUACCCCAGAACCUAAACUUCCUUCCUCCAAUUUCAAUGGUUCAAGUACUCGGUCAAGACUGACACGACUUAGCCGAGUCGUCACCCGAACGGGGCUUUCCGAUCCGAUAUCGGGACGAGAUAAUUUCAAAAUAAUGAAUCGCCAAGAACUCGGCCGAGACGUCUCCGAGACGAAUAGAAACGGUCGAAUCAUCUCGAGUUAUCCUGAGUCAAUACAAUUUUUAGAAUAUUUAAAUAUUUUAAAAAUUUGCGCCGAGACCGUAACUAAUAUAUCGAGAUCGAUGUUGAACGGUCCAAGCCGCGACCGCAACUGCGACCACGACUUUGAACCAUGAUUUCAACUUACUUGUUUCGGUCAAACGUCUGCUUCAACAAGCGGCUAAAAUACCAUCCAUCCGGAUGCCUAAUAGCAUUCAGUAGCAUAGUAAACGGUGUGAUUUCAGUUUCAGCCUGAUACUUUCUUAGGCCAAACCGCCUGCACAAGGAUUAAUGUCACUUUUAAGCCAUAAGUGAAGCUAUAUGCAUUCCCAAUUUUGACUUCCCUGAACAUCCCAUGUGUAUUUGAAUAAAAAUUUUGGUCCAUGAAAGAAAUAUUGCUGCGUGAUGGAUCUUCCUCUGUAACUCUUCCGUAGUUUUUCUGAUUAAUGGAAGAGAUAUUCUACGUAAAAAAUAAAGAAGUAUUCCUUAUGCAAGUGAUAUUUUCAUGUCAAUUCUCUUCAUUAAAUCAUUUUAUAAUAAACACAAAUAAUAGCUUAUGACAUGAAUUAUUAGAGUAUAUACGCAAAUAGGGUGAUUUGUACCACAAAUCCCAAGUGAUAUAUGAUAUGAACUUGAAUAGUCCCCAAGUACAUUCAACACAACAAAAUCAACCACGUCCAAUGUACUGAAGUUGAGUAGUCGAGAGUUAUCCAGAUAUACGUGCACACUUGUAAGUUCUGACAUCUAUAUAUGCAGAAUGCGGUAUAGAGUUCAAUUGCCAGCCUUCACGUAGCAUUAAGGAAAAGAGGGACAAGAAAAUGGAUAAUCCGUUGAAAUUCAGGGAAAAAAUGGGUGUAUAUGACCUCGAAAUGAAUGGAGUUGGCGUUAAGGUAACAGUCGUGGAUAACGAAGCCCUCGUCGAAAGUGGUAUAUCUGAAUUGAAGGCUCAGCUGGGAGAUUUGCCUUUGGUUGGAAUUGAUAUGAAAAUCUGUAAACAGCGAUCGAGGGAUCCAGAAUUACUGUUGAUGUAUGCCAACGAGCGUUGCUUGAUCGUUCAAUUGGCACUGAUGAACUCCUUCCCGAAUACACUCGGGACUUUCUUAAGUGACAAAAGAAUUUGUUUCGUGGGCUGGCAAAUUCAAGCCAAAUAUGAUGCUUUAGCAAAGGCUCUUAAGCGCUUGAAUAACAUGAAUGCUGCUUAUGAAGACUGCGUGACGAGAAAUGGAUUCAAAAUCAGUCAUCUGGCUGCCACAGUUCUCAAAAAUCCAGCACUUCAGAAGUGUGGUAGCUUGGAGAAGUUGGCGAGUAAGAUUGGAUUUAAUAUUGUAGAAGAAGCAAACCCGGAUAGGGUUGAGUGUCCUGAAUGGAAUGCCCUGUGUUUUUCCGAAGAAGAGGUGAAGUUUGCCAUGUAUGAUGCUUAUAAUUGCUACCACAUGGGCAAGAAGCUGUUGAGCAUGCUCUAGCGACUCUUGGACUUGUUGAUUCUUCGACUGUGUAUCAUCUGAACAUGGUUCAGUUACUGUUACAAAAAAUUGUCGAUAUCAAGUAGUAAAUGUUGUUUGUUGGGCAAUCUAUAUGUUGUUGAUGGAGAAGUUAUUGAUUCAAGAGUUAAUUUGAAGAACUGUUCUUUCUUCAUGCAACUCCUAUAUUAGCUAGUGAUCUUUGUUAUCAUGCGCACGGAUUAGUUCUACUAAACUGUUAAUUUUCCCAAAACUAUUAUGAGUACAGUUAUGAGUUUCACUCAUUUUGUACUCUAUGCAAAUGUGGGAGCAAAUUUGAAUGGCGAAACAUCUUGGAUCAUUAUGGUAAGGAUAAAUGAGAAUUAUAAUCACAAAUCUAUCAUAAAUACGAGAGUUCUUCUCUUAGGGAUCCUUAGAUCAUUGAUGUCUUUAUUAUGACGAAUUCUUCAGAAAAAAUUGUGUCUAGGCCAGAAAAUAAAAGGUGAAUCUAGUCGUACUUUUUUUGCGAGUAUAAAUUCUUCAUCUUGGAGUGGUAAUUUCAGAGCUUUUUUAAAGAAAAUUCUAGAAAAUUUCCCCAUAAAUGAAAUUAGGGUUAUUAGAAUAGACCUUAUCAUUCUUCCUUUUCCCUUUUCCUUGAAAACUUUUUUAGUCCAUAUUAGAAUUCAAGCAUUCUACAUCCUAACCAAGGUAACUUAGAGAAAAAAUAUGCGGAACAAAUCGCCACUCCAUGCUAAAUUUCUAAUUGACUCUCCUUGGAACAUUCCUCCAUCCCGCCACUAUACCACUAAUGAUCUGAACAAUAGAUUAAAUCAGGUGCUUAGCAGCCACAGACUUUCCACAGAACUCAGAAGAGCCUCCUAUUCCUUUAUCUCCACAAUGCAUAUAUCGUUUCCGCGAAGACACAUUUAAUUCAGUGUCUGAUGCAUAUGCUGAAUGCCUGAAUCCACCAUUGGGGCUCCUCAGCCCAUCCACAAACUCCCAUAUACAAGAGGUGAAAUUUCUGGAUUCCUCGCCAAACAUAAGCAGAGUAGUCAGGACUGGAAAAACAGGUGCUUUACCGAACCAUUUUCUCUAGCAAACGAGGGGCACCAUUCACCAAUUUUUCUCAGUAACUCUCCAUUUCGUCAAUGUAUCUUUUGUAGCCAACCUAUUUCCAAUUCUACGUGCCAGCCAAACUAUAGAUGCUUAUCUUGUGCCUUUUGACAGAAAAUAGGAAAAGCCUAAAGAUGAUAGUGGCUUUAUCUUUCCUUUUGGAUGGCUAUCAUAUAUCUUAGGCGUUUGUCUUUGUUUCAUAGAUAAUGGAUCAUGAUCAUGAUCAUCCACAAGUUCAAGAGUCAUACUAACCAUUUGAAUCUCUCUUUGCUAACUAUUGAGACCAUACUCCAAAAAGUAGUUUAACUAUACUGACUAUCAUUGAACAGUCAAAAUUAAUUUGAUUCAGUAAAAGCUAGGAACCAAACGUUACUUCAUUUACCAAAAUAACUGAAUUAUAGUCUAUCAAAAAGAAAAAUUAAAAUUUGCAUUCAUCUUACAUUGUUGCAUGCUUACGACUGACUUCUCAUUUCUUAGUCAUGCAUCUAGGAAACUCAAAGGGUGUCUUGGAAUCUUAAAUUGAACAAAGUGCAACAGAUAAACUCAAAUUCACUCAAGUCCAUCAUACACUUAAAACUCUCUUGGACUGGACUGAUGUAACACGACACUUGACACAUUUAAGUUCAUUGUAUUUAUAAUCACCAAGAGGAGAGACGCACUCCUUUGUAAAACUUUCAAAAGACAAACUCAUCAGAGGAGCUAGCUAGUACCUAAUGGGCAUUCUUUCAUUUUGGAUUAGGAUUGUUUAUGUGUUUUAUCAUUCUAAAUUGGUGUAUGAAAUGAAAGCUGUUUAUGAAUAAUCAAGCUUAGGCAUAAGGGCUAGGCAUGGCCCAAAAUGUUGUUCCUUAACAGAAACGAAACUAAUCAAUGUAUUGUUAAGAUGAUUAUGGGCUUUCCAGCCAUGGUAUGUAAGUCCAUAAUACAAUCAAUAAUAUCUAUUUUUUGAAUUUUUUUUUUUUUGUAUAAGUGUGUCAUUUUGAAUUAAGAAGAUCCCACUCACAACAUGUUCUAUCUUAUCACUCAACUCAAUCAAUUAAUAAAUUAAGAUUUUAAAAAUAUUUUUAUGCAACAGACAUAUCAAUACAGGUGAAUCACCCCUUUCAUUCCAUUUCCAAUUUCUAUAUUAAUACGGGGUCGGACUUCUUCUUUUUCCGACCGCAACAAAAAAAAUCUUCAUCGUAUGAGAUUUUUUCGAAGUUUUUUUUUGUUCGCUAUAGUUAUGAUUUUUUCAAUCAAUCUGUCUUUUCAGCAAAUAAACAGCAAUUCGAUCUAUCAAUAUGUAUGGUCUUGGACCAUUAAUAAUGAUCUUUCUUUAGAAGUCGACUAUUUGAUCGAUCCACUUACUUCUGUUACGUCAAUAUUAAUAGCUACCGUUGGGAUUAUUAUGGUUCACGAUCAAUACGUGGCAGAUUUAAUUCGUCAAGGACAGGAUGGUGCAUUUCUCCAUUGUAUUUGGCAUCAGUUACUUGAUCUUUCAAUUGCACAAAAUUAAUGGGGUUGUUAAUGGUCAAUAAAUUCCCUAGGUCAUUUGGCACGCCAAAUACUAGUCUUUCGAUUGAGGGAUUUGGACCUAAUCAUAGAGAACUAUUGCCUAAGAUUAAGAGUAGUGCUGGAUUUAUGCAUUAAUUAAUUCCCAUCCCCAUCUAAUAUUCUUUGUUUAUAUUCUUAUCCAUCCCUUGAAUACCAAGUAGAGCUGGGCAUCCUGUCUUUGUCGAAUUUCUUGUGCCAUUUGUCUUGGCAUAUUCGUAGAAAUUGGUUAUAGUCUGUCUUAUAGACCACCUCCCCCAUUUUGCAGUCACUUUAAUAAUAAUAUAAGUAUCAAUUAUCAUCAUAUGUUCGUUGGCCAAUGGAAUUGCAAAUUUUUUGCUAUCUCCAAAAAAAAAAAAAAAAAAAAAAAGGUGCAAUCAAAUUGGUGCUAGUUAGUUUGUAAAUCAAAGAUAAUCUAAAUUCUAACCAAUGGUUUUAACACAGAAAUAAAUAGUACUAACAAUAACCAAGACAAAAAGACUCUUCCCAACCAUAUCCAAUCUAUUUCUUUGCCAAAUGUGGUGGCGUUUUUGUCUUUUGACGCUGCUGCAUGAAUGGCAAGAGAGAUGGGGAAGGCAUUUUGUACAUUCAUAAAAUCCCAGAAAAUGAUAGGCAGCCAAUAUCCAAAAAAGGAAAAUGAAAGGGGAAAAAAUUUUUUUGCGACAAUGUCAAGUAGUAUCGAAAGUCAAAAAAUGUGUGUACAAAUUAAGUACUCCCUAUUAUAAGUAAGGUCAUCAAGUUCUAAUAAUAAAUAUGCACGUGAUAAUUUGAUGAUUAAUUUUUGACAUUGUCAAAUUCAGCAUUGCAAUAUUACCCUACAACAAUAAUAGGGAUGUAAACGAGUUUAAUCAAUUCGAAUACCCUAAUGUUCAAAAUUGUUUGACUUUUUCUUUUUAUUGCCAAACUGAGUUCGAACCAAUUUUUUAUUGGAUUAAAAAAUUAUCCAAUAUAAAACAUUAAAACUUGUUCGAUUAUUUUUAACUUAUUUGAAAUUCCAAGACAGUGCGAGGGCCGAGAUCUCUCCGUAGAUUAUAUGUUAUUAUACUUCAAAAUUUUCCUCCAUUUUUUUUUGUUUUAGCUGGCGAUAUUUUCCUGCUGGUCAAGAGAAAAAUCAAAAUGUAAGUCCAUCCUUUUCCCUUUUUUUUUUUUUUCUGAUGCAUUCAAGAAAUAUUUGUUUUUUAUGAGUUUAAUUCUAUUUUGGUGGCGUUGGUUUUAUAAUAAUCUGCAACAGGUAGAUGUUUGAAGAGCCUGAAAAAAUGUAAAUGGAAAACCCCUAUUAGUCGGUUAUGACAUUCUUGGCUGAAGAACUCCGCGAAUUUUCCUUUUUAUUUAAUUUUUCAUUUUAUAUUUUUUUUUUUUUUUUUGAGUUGCAGUAUGGCCCAUUUUAGGUUCACUUGAUGGUUCUGUUUGCUUUAUUCUAGCAGAAAUUCUUGAGAAUGUAUGUUUUAGUUUUUUUGGAUUUCCUGGUGGGAUUCUGCUCUUUCACAUUUUUUUUCUCAUGUACAGUACUUUUUAUGUUGUGAAGCAGGGAGCCGAUGAUUGUGCUGUGAAUGUCAUGUGGGGUUCGGAGAAAGUGGGAUGUUAGAGAAGGGUUUAUUAAUACAUAAAGUAGCAGCUUUUUCUUGUCUAGGAUAAAUUUGGUCAGUAUUCUAACUGGUUGAAUCCCACUUAGCGUCAGUUAUUGGUGAAAUAUGGUAAAAAGUUUGCUUGUUUAAAGGAAAUUGCAGAGGUUUUUCAUUGUUUAAUGCCAAGUGACUAAUAAAGAGCUUGAAAUUUUCUUUUUUUUAAUGAGUAUAAUCUCAGCUGCAUUAUUUGUUCAUUUUGGAUGGGCGAUGUGGGCAUUGUUUUAGUUGCAUUACUGUGGGAAGUUGAAUUUGAGGUAAGAAAAAGGCAGAAUUUUGGGAAGGUGAUGGUUUAACUGAAAAGAUUUCGUCGGUUGACUGAUGGGAUUUUGAAGUUUUAGAUUGUGAAAUUGAGAGGGUCUGGAGGCUUAUGAGAGGAGAAUUGAGAAUGUGAUGGAUCAUUUAGAUCUAAAAGGAAGUGAUUCAGAAAUUGAUUUGGAGAGUGGGGGCAAUGUAACUGAUGAUGAUGGGGGUGAACAUCUUGAUUUGAGUGGUAGAAAUUCAAAGAAAGGAUUGCAUAUGGUGUGGAGUGAGCUUGUGGGACAGGAAUCAGCAGAUGCAUCUGCAAAGGGUGAAAAGAGUGCACAUUCACUUGGCAAGUUGUUGAGUUAUGAUGAAAUAUUGGUUAAGAAUGCGGAUAGAUGGCCAGAAAAGUUUGAGGAAGAAUUUACAAAUUUUUCGAAAGAGAAAAGAGCUGUGGAAAAGCCAAAGAUGCCGAACUCCAAAAGGCCUCCAAAGCCGCCCCGACCUCCGGGAGGUCCCUCACUGGAUUCUGCUGAUAUGAAGUUGAUCAAGGAAAUUUCUGAGCUCGCAAUCUUGAAACGUAAAAGGACCGAGCGAAGGAAGGCCUUGCAGAAAAUGAGAAAGGAGAAGACAUAUUCAAAAAGCAGUAGUUUGUUUGCCAUGGUGGUCACUGCACUCUUUAUCUUUGUGAUCAUUUUCCAAGGUACGCAUGUCCAGCGAGCAGACUUUGAACUUUUCAUUUUCUUUUCCUUCUGCUAAUCUGGCCUGUCUUUUUUAUUUAGUAUUGAGUGGAUAUACAUUUGCAUUCUUUUGGUUCAUAAUAUUCAUUGAAGUCACUUAAUAGUAUUUGAUAAUGUAACUGUAUAUCUAUAUUUGUUUGCUCAUGAUUCUAGGUUUAUGAUAGCUUAAUGCUGGUUCGCUUUAUGACUUCCAUUAUCAUGCUACCUUUUUUUUUCUACCAUCUGACAUAGGAUUUUACUGCUGCAAUGUAAAGUUGUGGCCCUCCAUUUGAUGUCUCCCUUGAAAAAUGAUUUAUUGACUGAUUAUUCUCUGACCUAAAAGAAAAUUAUUGACUUGUGAGAAUAUGUUGAAGAGAAUUGACAGAAUGACUUUUAUUAAUUGUCGGACUCUUAAUAUUUGAUAAAAGCAUACUGUACUCGAAUUUACCAUUAAGGUAGCACUGCUGUUUCAGAAACCAUGGUAAAUCAGACUCACAGUAUUUGGUUUUCAUUACCUUCACCAUCCUGUACCUUGUUCAGAAUGAAAUGUUUUCUGCAAUAAGUAUUGGGCAUGAGCAAAAGGGACCUCUGCAGCAUCAAACGAGGACAUUGAUCAAAUACAACAAUUGGAAAUCUAUGUGGAUUUAUCAUUAGCGCAAUUCAUCUUCCAUGGGAAGACAAAGGCUUUUAAGUAAAAAGAUCAAGGAGAAUUUUGUAUCUUUAGCCUAGGUUUUGAUGCAAUCAGAUGAAAAGCAGAAUGCUUAUAUAGAGGAAACAUCUGUUUUCUUGCAAAUAUUUCUGAAGUUCCACAUAGAACAUUUCAAAACUCAAUUAGGAUCAGGUAGUGGCCCAUUUAUAAGGGAUAGUGUCCUGCAUAUGAUGCCCGUCACAUGCAUUACUGGGUUGACUUCAAUCCUGUCUAAUUUUAUCAAAAGCAUUAUAGAAGCUCAUGUAUGUGUGAAUGCUUGAUAUGUGGCUGGGCACAACCAAGAAGGUAUUGUGCCUUAUCAAAGCUAAGUAGAAAGUAUAUUAAUCUGCUCAAAACAUGACAAGCGGGAAGGUUGAAAUUAUAUUGUAUUUUUAGUUGGUACAAUUAUGUUGUCGUAAUUUUGGUCUUUCCUUGUUGGGAAAAGGGGGUGCAAUAGGUGCUUGUAAUGUUGGUUUAAUAGUUUUUGUUAAUUGUCAAUUAUGAAUCACCAUUGGUCUCCUUAAUAUUAAGCUUCUGAUAAGAGCUUGAUCUGAAGCAUAGCUUGCUCGACAAUGAUUUGCUGGACUAUCAGAGAGCACCUUCUUUUUAGAGGCUUUCAACAAGUCACUCUGUAGUCUUAGGCUUAGCUUGGCCAAUAAAGUUUGAGGUCAUUUAUGUGCUUAUGCAUCAUAAGAAGAUAAGAACCGAUGAUCUUUUCUUCAGGAGCCCCCUAGUUGUUUUUCUUUUGUUCAUCUAUAAUGCUUCUGUACAAAGUAAGUAAAAUGAAAACUAAACUUUAUCAUCAACUUUCAGGUCUCCUAGGAUCACGCAUCUGACAUGUAUUGCGUCGCCAAUAUUCCAAGUAUACUUCUAUACAACUUAUUUCCAAUCCUCUUAUUCAUGAAUGUAAUACGUAUUGCCUUUGAUGUGAUGUUGCUGAAGCAGAUUUAUCCUGUUACGAAAUACACAAUGCCACCUGCUGUCUGAUUUUUUAGUUACUCUAAGUCAGCAAGUAUUGGAAACUUAAAGCAUGAAUUUAUGUAUCUAUAUCUGUAGAAACUUCAAAACAGGUGGGCUUUGAGAUUUAUUUGAAAUCUAGUUACAUUAGAUAUCAAUUAUCAAGCAUUGGCAAGGGACAUGCAGAUUUAAAAUUUAUAGAGCUUUUUUAGCCUUUUGAUAGGGCCCUUAUUGAGUUAUUCUUGUCUUCUGAUUUUGCCAGGUUCAGGAAUAGCUAUGAGGAAGUAGAGAGGAUGGGAUGAGCAAGUGCUGUUUUUGUAUAGUAGUAGAUGAACUCAGUACAUGUUGAAUUUUGAGGUGCAGCACUGGGAUCAGGAAAUAUUACUUUUUGCUGACUAUAGAUAAUUGUGUUAGAAACUGUUGCUGACGGUAUGCUUGAGUUGUACAAUCCGUUUAACGUAGGAAAGGAGUUCCAGGAUGCAGUUGUUGGGUUCUUCCUGGAUUUUGGAGCCUCGUUUUGACACAGGAAAGGGUUUACACGUUCUCAGACUUGUAGGUAGAAGCAGCCGGGAAGAGGAGCAUUCUGGCAAGAACUUCCUAAGAGUUUGCAUUUGUAGUCUUGACAAUCGCUGGAAUGAGAAAAGUGGCAACGAUAAAACCUACCAUUUGUCAACUCUGAUGAAAGUCCUAAUGUUACUCAUUUUCUUUAUCCGUAUCUGCAUCUCUACCCCCCUCUCUCUCUCUCUAAGUCGGUCUGUAUGCUUGUGUUUUUGGCAGCUCGAUUGAGUUGGAAUUAUAUCAUGACCAGAAAGAAAAGAAGGAUCGGACGCGCUGCAAAUAGAGAGAUUAAUCACAACCUAUGGUGAUGGAGGGAUAUGAAGCCCUGGAAAGUAGCAGUAGGUCCAUCAAUUUUCUAAGAGAAUAAAAAAAUGUGUGUGCCAAUUCAUUCUGCAUGGACAGCAGGCUUAGAAAACACUGGAGUAGCAGAUGUCAUCAAGAGCCCCUUUUAACAAAGCAAACAGAUAUGGGAACCAUGAAAACUGUGAAUCUUGCAACCCCUAAAAGCAACUCAAGGAACGCGUAGACACUUAUCUUCUUUUUUAAGCAGAAGGCUUCAGCUGCUAGCUGCUAAAUGUUUCCAUAAGGUCUGACCAUUCUAGUACUUCGUUACAUUUUAUAACCAAAAUGUCAAUGUGCCCUUGUGAACUUGAAUUGGGUAAAGAAACGCGAGAGUAGUAGCAACAAUAAAGGCAAUAAAAAGCCUAUUGGCAAGCCGAUUUUGUACAGUGAUGCUUUAGGUUUAUAAAUAAAGAACACAAGUUACUGCUUAGCAGCUAGCCAGCUAUUCAAUAGGGAAUGCAAUCAGAAAUCAAGCAUCACAAACGCCUAACUGCUGCCUAGAGACUUCGACAGGAUUCCAAAACACAAAAUACAGAUUUUUGUGUGUUCUACAAGAAAUUAAGCAAGUUGCAU